rnacentral:rRNA from 1 species
GUCUGACGGAGCAACGCCGCGUGAGCGAUGAAGGCCUUCGGGUCGUAAAGCUCUGUUGUUAGGGAAGAACAAGUGCUAGUUGAAUAAGCUGGCACCUUGACGGUACCUAACCAGAAAGCCACGGCUAACUACGUGCCAGCAGCCGCGGUAAUACGUAGGUGGCAAGCGUUAUCCGGAAUUAUUGGGCGUAAAGCGCGCGCAGGUGGUUUCUUAAGUCUGAUGUGAAAGCCCACGGCUCAACCGUGGAGGGUCAUUGGAAACUGGGAGACUUGAGUGCAGAAGAGGAAAGUGGAAUUCCAUGUGUAGCGGUGAAAUGCGUAGAGAUAUGGAGGAACACCAGUGGCGAAGGCGACUUUCUGGUCUGCAACUGACACUGAGGCGCGAAAGCGUGGGGAGCAAACAGGAUUAGAUACCCUGGUAGUCCACGCCGUAAACGAUGAGUGCUAAGUGUUAGAGGGUUUCCGCCCUUUAGUGCUGAAGUUAACGCAUUAAGCACUCCGCCUGGGGAGU